GGGUUGUGAGGUUAAGCGACUAAGCGUACACGGUGGAUGCCCCGGCAGUCAGAGGCGAUGAAGGACGUGCUAAUCUGCGAAAAGCGUCGGUAAGGUGAUAUGAACCGUUAUAACCGGCGAUGUCCGAAUGGGGAAACCCAGUGCAAUUCGUUGCACUAUCGUUAACUGAAUACAUAGGUUAACGAGGCGAACCGGGGGAACUGAAACAUCUAAGUACCCCGAGGAAAAGAAAUCAACCGAGAUUCCCCCAGUAGCGGCGAGCGAACGGGGAGCAGCCCAGAGUCUGAAUCAGCUUGUGUGUUAGUGGAACGGUCUGGAAAGUCCGACGGUACAGGGUGAUAGUCCCGUACACCAAAAUGCACAGGCUGUGAACUCGAAGAGUAGGGCGGGACACGUGGUAUCCUGUCUGAAUAUGGGGGGACCAUCCUCCAAGGCUAAAUACUCCUGACUGACCGAUAGUGAACCAGUACCGUGAGGGAAAGGCGAAAAGAACCCCGGCGAGGGGAGUGAAAAAGAACCUGAAACCGUGUACGUACAAGCAGUGGGAGCACCUUCGGGUGUGACUGCGUACCUUUUGUAUAAUGGGUCAGCGACUUAUAUUCUGUAGCAAGGUUAACCGUAUAGGGGAGCCGCAGGGAAACCGAGUCUUAACUGGGCGUUAAGUUGCAGGGUAUAGACCCGAAACCCGGUGAUCUAGCCAUGGGCAGGUUGAAGGUUGGGUAACACUAACUGGAGGACCGAACCGACUAAUGUUGAAAAAUUAGCGGAUGACUUGUGGCUGGGGGUGAAAGGCCAAUCAAACCGGGAGAUAGCUGGUUCUCCCCGAAAGCUAUUUAGGUAGCGCCUCGUGAAUUCAUCUUCGGGGGUAGAGCACUGUUUCGGCUAGGGGGUCAUCCCGACUUACCAACCCGAUGCAAACUACGAAUACCGAAGAAUGUUAUCACGGGAGACACACGGCGGGUGCUAACGUCCGUCGUGAAGAGGGAAACAACCCAGACCGCCAGCUAAGGUCCCAAAGUCAUGGUUAAGUGGGAAACGAUGUGGGAAGGCACAGACAGCCGGGAUGUUGGCUUAGAAGCAGCCAUCAUUUAAAGAAAGCGUAAUAGCUCACUGGUCGAGUCGGCCUGCGCGGAAGAUGUAACGGGGCUAAACCAUGCACCGAAGCUGCGGCAGCGACACUAUGUGUUGUUGGGUAGGGGAGCGUUCUGUAAGCCUGCGAAGGUGUGCUGUGAGGCAUGCUGGAGGUAUCAGAAGUGCGAAUGCUGACAUAAGUAACGAUAAAGCGGGUGAAAAGCCCGCUCGCCGGAAGACCAAGGGUUCCUGUCCAACGUUAAUCGGGGCAGGGUGAGUCGACCCCUAAGGCGAGGCCGAAAGGCGUAGUCGAUGGGAAACAGGUUAAUAUUCCUGUACUUGGUGUUACUGCGAAGGGGGGACGGAGAAGGCUAUGUUAGCCGGGCGACGGUUGUCCCGGUUUAAGCAUGUAGGCUGAUUAUCCGUGCAAAUCCGGAUAAUCAAGGCUGAGGUGUGAUGACGAGGCACUACGGUGCUGAAGUAACAAAUGCCCUGCUUCCGGGAAAAGCCUCUAAGCAUCAGGUAACAUCAAAUCGUACCCCAAACCGACACAGGUGGUCAGGUAGAGAAUACCAAGGCGCUUGAGAGAACUCGGGUGAAGGAACUAGGCAAAAUGGUGCCGUAACUUCGGGAGAAGGCACGCUGGUGUGUAGGUGAAGCCCCUGCGGGUGGAGCUGAGACCAGUCGAAGAUACCAGCUGGCUGCAACUGUUUAUUAAAAACACAGCACUGUGCAAACACGAAAGUGGACGUAUACGGUGUGACGCCUGCCCGGUGCCGGAAGGUUAAUUGAUGGGGUUAUCCGUAAGGAGAAGCUCUUGAUCGAAGCCCCGGUAAACGGCGGCCGUAACUAUAACGGUCCUAAGGUAGCGAAAUUCCUUGUCGGGUAAGUUCCGACCUGCACGAAUGGCGUAAUGAUGGCCGGCUGUCUCCACCCGAGACUCAGUGAAAUUGAACUCGCUGUGAAGAUGCAGUGUACCCGCGGCAAGACGGAAAGACCCCGUGAACCUUUACUAUAGCUUGACACUGAACAUUGAGCCUUGAUGUGUAGGAUAGGUGGGAGGCUUUGAAGCGUGGACGCCAGUCUGCGUGGAGCCAACCUUGAAAUACCACCCUUUAAUGUUUGAUGUUCUAACGUUGGCCCCUGACCGGGGUUGCGGACAGUGUCUGGUGGGUAGUUUGACUGGGGCGGUCUCCUCCCAAAGCGUAACGGAGGAGCACGAAGGUUAGCUAAUCCUGGUCGGACAUCAGGAGGUUAGUGCAAUGGCAUAAGCUAGCUUGACUGCGAGCGUGACGGCGCGAGCAGGUGCGAAAGCAGGUCAUAGUGAUCCGGUGGUUCUGAAUGGAAGGGCCAUCGCUCAACGGAUAAAAGGUACUCCGGGGAUAACAGGCUGAUACCGCCCAAGAGUUCAUAUCGACGGCGGUGUUUGGCACCUCGAUGUCGGCUCAUCACAUCCUGGGGCUGAAGUAGGUCCCAAGGGUAUGGCUGUUCGCCAUUUAAAGUGGUACGCGAGCUGGGUUUAGAACGUCGUGAGACAGUUCGGUCCCUAUCUGCCGUGGGCGCUGGAGAAUUGAGGGGGGCUGCUCCUAGUACGAGAGGACCGGAGUGGACGCAUCACUGGUGUUCGGGUUGUCAUGCCAAUGGCACUGCCCGGUAGCUAAAUGCGGAAGAGAUAAGUGCUGAAAGCAUCUAAGCACGAAACUUGCCCCGAGAUGAGUUCUCCCUGAGACUUUAAGUCUCCUGAAGGAACGUUAAAGACGAUGACGUUGAUAGGCCGGGUGUGUAAGCGCAGCGAUGCGUUGAGCUAACCGGUACUAAUGAACCGUGAGGCUUAACCUUACAACGCCGAAG
rnacentral:rRNA from 1 species